rnacentral:rRNA from 1 species
UACGUAGGGGGCAAGCGUUGUCCGGAUUUAUUGGGCGUAAAGAGCGUGUAGGCGGCCUGGUAGGUCAGCUGUGAAAACUCGAGGCUCAACUUCGAGCUGUCGGUGGAAACUUUCUGGCUAGAGUCCGGAAGAGGAGAAUGGAAUUCCUGGUGUAGCGGUGAAAUGCGCAGAUAUCAGGAGGAACACCGGUGGCGAAGGCGGGUCUCUGGGCCGUAACUGACGCUGAGGAGCGAAAGCGUGGGGAGCGAACAGG